rnacentral:piRNA from 1 species
UAGAACAAUUUUAGGUGUUUAUAAAAUGGC